UACGUAGGUGGCAAGCGUUGUUCGGAAUUAUUGGGCGUAAAGGGCGCGUAGGCGGCUUAUCAAGUCAGGCGUGAAAUUCCCGGGCUCAACCUGGGGGCUGCGCUUGAUACUGAUUGGCUUGAAUGCGGGAGAGGAUAGUGGAAUUCCCAGUGUAGAGGUGAAAUUCGUAGAUAUUGGGAAGAACACCGGUGGCGAAGGCGGCUAUCUGGCCCGUAAUUGACGCUGAGGCGCGAAAGCGUGGGGAGCAAACAGG
rnacentral:rRNA from 1 species